GUUACCUAUUGCAUUUGCAGAGAUACUUCCAGAACAUGUCAACCAAGCUAUAUCAGGAAUUAGUAACUUUUUCCGGGAAAUCUGUAGUCGGACAUUGAAAAAUGAAGACGUCCAGUUGAUGAAGCAAAAUAUUGUUCUAAUUUUGUGCAAUUUAGAGAAGAUAUUCCCACCAUCUUUUUUUGAUGUGAUGGAACAUCUGCCAGUUCAUCUGCCACGAGAAGCGGAACUCGGCGGUCCGGUUCAGUUUAGAUGGAUGUACCCGUUUGAGCGGUUUAUGUACCACUUGAAACAAAAAGCGAAACAAAAGGCGUUUGUUGAAGGAAGCAUUGCAGAGCAAUAUAUAAACGAAGAAAUAUCAUUCUUCACCUCGUAUUAUUUUGAAGA